GUGUGCAUUCAUACCAGCACUAAUGCAUCGGAUCCCAUUGGAACUCUGAAGUUGAGCAUGCUUGGGCGAGAAUUGUACGAAGAUGGGCCUGUCACACGACUUUCACAGACACAGGCA
rnacentral:rRNA from 1 species